UAAUAUUGAUCAAAAAUGAAACCAGUUCACUCCAAAAGGAGGAUUUUUAAGUGUCCGUCCUAGCGUUACGUGAAUGGAGGACUGGCAGCUUCUUUAUUAUGCAAGUGCAUUACUACGACACUACGACGCUCGGUAACAUUAUGUUAACAAACCGCAAAUAAAAAACGGUGGCAAGUCCGACAUUAAAACGUUUGUUCUACCAGUCAAGUCUCAACAUGAACUAGAAUUUGCGUUAACGGCACUAAUUUUUAUAAUCGCGUUAAAUUGAGAUUGCGUUAAUGCGUUAUUAUCGCGUUAACUUCGACAGCCCUAAUAAGAACACAUUUACAAAAUAAUGGAUUAUAUUCCUAAUGGGACAACACACGGUUAUAAAUGUAAUAGCAUCUGGAAGUACAGAAGCUAAGGGUGUGAACGUGUAAUGCCCUGUGAUGGAUUGGUGUACUGCAGUUCAGAGAAAGGAUCCUGACUCACCACAACGAUGAUCAAGAUGGAUGGAUGGAUGGAUGGAUGGAUGGAUGGAUACUUUAUUUAUCCCGAAGGAAAUUAUUGGUCUCCAGUAGUUUAACACAGAAGAGAAAACUUAAUACAAAUACAAAAUAAGGUAAAAUACAAAUACAAAAUAAGGUAAGAUACAAAUACAAAAUGAGGUAAGUAAGUAAAUAAAGUGCAUUAAUACAGCAUAUGGUACACUGU